AGUAAAAUAAGCUAAUAAGCUUUUGGGCCCAUACCCCAAAAAUGUUGGUAAACCCUUCUUUUAUUA
rnacentral:tRNA from 1 species